CGGGGCGUAGCGCAGUCUGGUAGCGCGGUUGCUUUGGGAGCAAUAGGUCGGGAGUUCGAAUCUCUCCGCCCCGACCA
rnacentral:tRNA from 4 species